rnacentral:rRNA from 1 species
GAUGAACGCUGGCGGCGUGCCUAAUACAUGCAAGUCGAGCGAACGGACGAGAAGCUUGCUUUUCUGAUGUUAGCGGAGGGCGGGUGAGUAACACGUGGAUCAUCCACCUAUAAGACUGGGAUAACUUCGGGAAACCGGAGCAAAUACCGGAUGAUCUCUUGAACCGCAUGGUUCAAUGGAGAAAGACGGUCUUGCUGUAACUUAUAGAUGGAUCCGCGCUGCUUUGGCUAGUUGGUAAGGUCAAGGCUUACUACGGCGACGAUGCGUGGCCGAGCUGAGGGGGGGAUCGGCCACACUGGAACUGAGACGCGGUCCAUGCGCCUGCGGGAGGCAGCAGUAUGGUAUCUGCUGCAAUGGUCGAAAACCUGACGGAACAACGCCGCGUGAGUGAUAGAGGUCUUCCGUUCGUAAUACUCUGUUACGGGUUAAGAACAGAUUUGUAAUGUACUGUACACAGCGUGACGGUAACGGGUCAGAAAGCCCCGGCUAACUACGUG